rnacentral:lncRNA from 1 species
CUUGCUUAAUGCACUAUUAAAUGUCCAAAUGCUAUGUACAUGGAAUUGUAAUUAUAUGUUUGGAUUCUGAAUUAAUCGUAUAGCAACUAAAGGYAAGAUUUUCCAAACACAUUUGCCUGACCUGUCUUUACUCCUAUAGGAGUCAAUAGCAAAAUAAAAUUAACCAACAUUGUGUGUGUUUGGACUGUUUCCUUCCAUCUCCCCCYACCUUUUUGUGUAGGCAAUGUCUAUGAAGACUCUUCCUGGAGGAACGCAUAGCUGACUGGAUGGUGACAGCUCAAAUGCUAAAUUCGACACGACAUAACRCCCCAUCUGGGAUGAAAUGCCUCCUUCCAGCCCCAGAGUGAGGGGACAAGAUUGCCGCUGGCUGCUACCCAGUCCCAGCUACAACAACGUGUCUCAAGGAACCAGUGAGCUGCUGCUUACAGCUACAAACAUGAGCUUYCCAUUAGGAUAUGUGGUACCACAGAAAGCUGUCGUGGU